UACGUAGGUGGCAAGCGUUGUCCGGAUUUCUUGGGUUUAAAGGGUGCGUAGGCGGUCCUAUAAGUCAGUUGUGAAAUACGGCAGCUUAACUGUCGAGGUGCAAUUGAUACUGCAGGACCUGAGUACAGACGAGGUAGGCGGAAUUGACGGUGUAGCGGUGAAAUGCUUAGAUAUCGUCAAGAACACCGAUAGCGAAGGCAGCUUACUAGACUGUAACUGACGCUGAUGCACGAAAGUGUGGGGAUCAAACAGG
rnacentral:rRNA from 1 species